rnacentral:rRNA from 1 species
AGUGAACGCUGGCGGUAGGCCUAACACAUGCAAGUCGAACGGCAGCACAGUAAGAGCUUGCUCUUACGGGUGGCGAGUGGCGGACGGGUGAGGAAUACAUCGGAAUCUACUUUUUCGUGGGGGAUAACGUAGGGAAACUUACGCUAAUACCGCAUACGACCUACGGGUGAAAGCAGGGGAUCUUCGGACCUUGCGCGAUUGAAUGAGCCGAUGUCGGAUUAGCUAGUUGGCGGGGUAAAGGCCCACCAAGGCGACGAUCCGUAGCUGGUCUGAGAGGAUGAUCAGCCACACUGGAACUGAGACACGGUCCAGACUCCUACGGGAGGCAGCAGUGGGGAAUAUUGGACAAUGGGCGCAAGCCUGAUCCAGCCAUACCUCGUGGGUGAAGAAGGCCUUCGGGUUGUAAAGCCCUUUUGUUGGGAAAGAAAAGCAGCAGGUUAAUACCCCGCUGUUCUGACGGUACCCAAAGAAUAAGCACCGGCUAACUUCGUG